rnacentral:rRNA from 1 species
UACGAAGGGGGGCUAGCGUUGUUCGGAAUCACUGGGCGUAAAGCGCACGUAGGCGGAUCUUUAAGUCAGGGGUGAAAUCCCGAGGCUCAACCUCGGAACUGCCUUUGAUACUGGGGAUCUCGAGUCCGGGAGAGGUGAGUGGAACUGCGAGUGUAGAGGUGAAAUUCGUAGAUAUUCGCAAGAACACCAGUGGCGAAGGCGGCUCACUGGUCCGGUACUGACGCUGAGGUGCGAAAGCGUGGGGAGCAAACAGG